rfam:Fluviicola taffensis DSM 16823, complete genome.
UUAGGUGUCUAUAGCAACGAGGUCCACCUCUUCCCAUUCCGAACAGAGAAGUUAAGCCCGUUAGCGCUGAUGGUACUGCCCUUUUGAGGGUGGGAGAGUAAGUCGAUGCCACUU